CUUUGAAGCACUAACUUACAUCAUCUGCAUGCUGAUCUUGGAAUAAAUUGACGACAGCAAAGAUUCCAUCUUUGACGAGGCCACAUAAAUGGAAUAGGUACUAGCUAGCUUAAUAGUUAAUAUUUGUGCGCUAGCUCUGCAUAUUCAGCUAGUGUGUGUGCGCGAUUGACUAGAUUAACCUCACGUCAGUUACGUUCAUUGAGUGCCUUUCAGACAGUGGAUACCACCCCUCUGUUACCUUGCCAACUAAGGAACUGGCAGUGGAUCAAAACAUUGUGAGGCAAAGGGUGGGGGGGUCGCAAUCUUUUGAAACUUAAAAACGCACUAUUAAGUGUCUAUAAUCAGCACAAUUGCUUUCAUUGAGUAUUAUUAAUAUUAUUUAAAUUACAUAGUUAUGUUUCAGUGAUAUAUUGGGGGGGACAAAUCAUAUUUUUCCAAGGAUGGGGGGGUCGUGUCCCCCCUGUCCCCCCCGGGAUUUCCGCCCCUGACUGUAUUGGAGCAGCAGCAGCUGACUGCCCAGUUCAACGUCAGUUCACCGUCUCACCUCAUACUGUAUUGGAGCAGCAGCAGCUGACUGCCCGGUUCAACGUCAGUUCACCGUCUCACCUCAUACUGUAUUGGAGCAGCAGCAGCUGACUUGAUCGUUGAUACUAAUCAUCAUGUUUGAAUCUGAGAGUAAAUAGAGCCGACUACACUCAAAAAAUGAAGGGUUCAACUGGAGUUGUUCUCAGAUCCCCUAAGAACCGUAGGGUUCUUGGUCAAUGAAAAACAGCCCCAAAAGGUUCUUCAAAGAACUUGUUAGAAGGUGGGUUCAUCGAGGAACCUCCGUUGUUGAUGGACUUCUUCCGGGAACUUCGCAAUUACAACUGAAAACCAUGGUGUCAAGUUUGGAUGCGACAACAGUUAAAAAGGACAGAACAUGGACACAAUGCAAUUGGGAUCAAGAAGAAGGUAUUGGGAGGCGUAAACAGGGCGGAUUCCGGAUGUUUUAACAUUAAAAUUGUCAUCUAGUUCCUAAAGAUUCUAGAUAUUUAAACCCAGGGCAUACCUGGCCAGCACAUUUAAAAUAGUUGGAAUUCACCACUUCUGAGGGUCACACAGAC
rnacentral:lncRNA from 1 species